AUUGAACGCUGGCGGCAUGCCUUACACAUGCAAGUCGAACGGCAGCACGGAUGCUUGCACCUGGUGGCGAGUGGCGAACGGGUGAGUAAUACAUCGGAACAUGUCCUGUAGUGGGGGAUAGCCCGGCGAAAGCCGGAUUAAUACCGCAUACGAUCUACGGAUGAAAGCGGGGGACCUUCGGGCCUCGCGCUUUAGGGUUGGCCGAUGGCUGAUUAGCUAGUUGGUGGGGUAAAGGCCUACCAAGGCGACGAUCAGUAGCUGGUCUGAGAGGACGACCAGCCACACUGGGACUGAGACACGGCCCAGACUCCUACGGGAGGCAGCAGUGGGGAAUUUUGGGCAAUGGGCGAAAGCCUGAUCCAGCAAUGCCGCGUGUGUGAAGAAGGCCUUCGGGUUGUAAAGCACUUUUGUCCGGAAAGAAAUCCUUGGCCCUAAUACGGUCGGGGGAUGACGGUACCGGAAGAAUAAGCACCGGCUAACUACGUG
rnacentral:rRNA from 1 species